rnacentral:pre_miRNA from 1 species
AUCGCAGUCACCUGAGGAUCUUGUUAAAAUGCAGAUUCUGAUUCAGUAGGUCUCAGCUGGGGCCUGAGAUUCCACAUUUCUAACCAGCUUCCAGGUGACGCUGAU